UCACCAGCGUGGGAACUCCACAGACAUCCU
rnacentral:piRNA from 2 species